GAAAGCCUGACGGAGCAACGCCGCGUGCGGGAGGACGGCCUGUGGGUUGUAAACCGCUUUUCUCAGGGGAGAUGAUGACGGUACCUGAGGAAUCAGCAUCGGCUAACUCCGUGCCAGCAGCCGCGGUAAUACGGAGGAUGCAAGCGUUAUCCGGAAUUAUUGGGCGUAAAGCGUCCGCAGGUGGUUAUGCAAGUCUGCUGUUAAAGAGUGGGGCUUAACUCCAUAAGGGCAGUGGAAACUGUGUGACUAGAGUGUGGUAGGGGCAGAGGGAAUUCCCAGUGUAGCGGUGAAAUGCGUAGAUAUUGGGAAGAACACCAGUGGCGAAGGC
rnacentral:rRNA from 1 species